rnacentral:lncRNA from 1 species
UCGAUGACAACAAGUUUUUAUCUCUGAUCUAUGAUCUUAGAGAGGUAAACUCUGACGAGGAUGUCUUUAUGCAUGCCUUUGCUUUGGAAUUGAAUUAUGUGACUGUGGGGGUCAACAACCUGCUAGAGCAAUGGGAGCUAAUUGUCUAUACACAGAGGAAUGGUUCUUUCAGACUAUCUGUCGAAUCUCUGAAAUCAUUCUCUGUAUCUGAGCUCUGGGUGCUUCGGAAUAAGGUAAAGCGCAGCUCCAACCUGAAUGAACUUCUUCGUGACAAACUGCUGGAACAAGCUGUAUUCAACAGUCCUCAGGUUGUC